UGGGGAAUACUGCACAAUGGAGGGAACUCUGAUGCAGCGACGCCGCGUGAACGAAGAAGGCUUUCGAGUCGUAAAGUUCUUUUAUAUGGGAAGAUAAUGACGGUACCAUAAGAAAAAGCCCCGGCUAACUACGUGCCAGCAGCCGCGGUAAUACGUAGGGGGCUAGCGUUGUCCGGAAUCACUGGGCGUAAAGGGUUCGCAGGCGGAAAUGCAAGUCAGGUGUAAAAGGCAGUAGCUUAACUACUGUAAGCAUUUGAAACUGCAUAUCUUGAGAAGAGUAGAGGUAAGUGGAAUUUUUAGGGUAGCGGUGAAAUGCGUAGAAAUUAAAAAGAAUACCGGUGGCGAAGGCGACUUACGGGGCUCAUUCUGAAGCUGAGGAACGAAAGCGUGGGUAGCAAACAGG
rnacentral:rRNA from 1 species